UCCCUGGUGGCCUAGUGAUCAAGGAUUUAGUGUUGUCAAUGCUGUGUCUCAGGUUCGAUUCCUGGCCUGGGAA
rnacentral:tRNA from 1 species